rnacentral:rRNA from 1 species
UACGUAGGUGUCGAGCGUUGUCCGGAUUUAUUGGGCGUAAAGAGCCCGCAGGCGGCUUGGUAAGUUCGAGGUGAAAUCUCCCGGCUUAACUGGGAGGGUGCCUCGAAAACUAUCAGGCUUGAGGCAUGGAGAGGGAUGCAGAAUUCCAGGUGUAGCGGUGAAAUGCGUAGAUAUCUGGAGGAAUACCAGUGGCGAAGGCGGCAUCCUGGCCAUGUCCUGACGCUCAGGGGCGAAAGCGUGGGGAGCAAACCGG